rfam:Agrilus planipennis Contig20861, whole genome shotgun sequence.
UAGUCAGGUCACUCUAAGUUUGAACACCAAGCUUUUUAUAGCUCGUUUGGUGUUCUACCUUACAGUGAGCAGACUG